rnacentral:lncRNA from 1 species
ACAGAGACAGAGUCCCCUUUCAGCGGGCUGAGGGCAGCUGGCGGAUGCACUAGCCGGGCUGAGGGUCAGGAAUAGCCUUGUGGCCGCUUGUGCUCCUCUGGCUCCUCCCAAUGAGGGUCCUCUAGUGGAGCCUCCCAAUGGGGCUCCUCUACCCUCAGCAGUGCCCUUGGUCACCAGGUCCUGUCUUGGUGCCAACAAAUUCAGUCCUCAAACCAUCUACUGAGCACCUGCUCUGGGCUAGGAGCCCUGGAGCCCUGAUACAACCAAGAGGUAGAGCCCGGAGUAUUGUUCUUGCUGAGGAGAAGCUUCUGGAAGGUUCAGCCACAAAGAUGUCAUCUGAGAUCAGCUUUGAAAACAUUGGACAGGAGCAGGUUCGAGAAUGGGAGGAGGAAAGGAGGGUUCUCCUAAGUAUUCAAAUUAGCACCACCUCGUCCACCACAGGGCGUUAGAUAAGAAAAAAGAAUCCUGCCAGUAUCAGACACCUGCGCAGAUAGGGUAAGCGAGAGUCCUGGGAGCCCCUCAGAUUCCUAACCUGGACUGCUCUGGAGCCCUUCCACCAUCUGUUCCUUUCAGACAAACAGGAGGAGCAGCAGGUGUCCGGAGAAUGUGCUAGGGGCCUCCUAGUAUGAGCAGUCCCAACAUACUGCGUGAAGGCAGAAGGAGGAGCACACUACACAGAUAAUCCUCACAGAAACGCAGGAUGAAAAACCAGCCCAAACAGAAACGUCCACCCCACACAAUGAAGAAGGUGGUCAUAUGGAUGCAUUUGCGUUAACUGGAUGGGGCCGGUAACUAAGCUUGUGGCUCUCACUCCACAUCUGCCUCCUAGCCCUACUCUGAGAGGCCACAGGGGCGUGACAGGGAGCCCUGGAGACCGCACGCCGAGGUCCCUGUGAGCUGCUGGCAAUUGCUUGGCCCUGGGAGUGGCCGUUCCUUCCAGCCACAGGUAGCAGCAUCACCCUCAGAGACCCCAGCACUGGCUAAGCAGCAGCCCCCUCUCCAGAGCUCCCUCACAGGAUGUGCGUCCCAGACCCACGGGGCGCCUUCUCCACCAUGCACUGGCCCCGCUGCCAGCUGUGAGGCUCAGCACCGUGGGCCUUUGACCAAGCUGUCAAAUUUGUUCCCCAGCCCUAGGGUAGUAACUGUGGCUCACAGUUCUGCCACCUCCCUGACACUUCACAGUUCUUUUUACCCUUUGGCACCUCAUCAACUUUAUACCUGGUUAACAAUCCUUGCUAUUACAUCCUCUGCUCAAAUAA